GACGAACGCUGGCGGCGCGCUUAACACAUGCAAGUCGAGCGAAGCGGCGGACGGGUGAGUAACACGUGAGUAACCUGCCUUAGACAUUGGGAUAGCCUCGGGAAACCGGGAUUAAUACCAAAUGGGCUAAGAUGGACUCGCGUGGCAUUAGCAAGUGGGUGAGGUAACGGGCCACCAAGGCGCCGAUGGGUAGCCGGCCUGAGAGGGUGAACGGCGACAUUGGAACUGAGAAACGGUCCAAACUCUGCGGGAGGCAGCCGUGUGUAAUAUUGCACAAUGGAGGGAACUCUGAGGGAGCGACGCCGGGUGAACAAAGAAGGCGUUCGAGUCGUAAAGUUCUUUUAUAUGGGAAGCGUUACCAUAAGAAAAAGCCCCGGCUAACUACGUGCCAGCAGCCGCGGUAAUAC
rnacentral:rRNA from 1 species